rnacentral:tRNA from 1 species
GCUGUUAUAGUUUAAAUUAGAAUUUAUAACUUGUAAUUAUAAGGUUUUAAUAGCU